rnacentral:lncRNA from 1 species
CGCCUACCAGGCUGAUCACUAUUUCUCCUUAAGAAUCUGGGCUUUGUCAGACCAAAGCAUCAUUCCUAGAUUUCUCAUCUCAGAUGGAUAAAGUUGAGGGCUGGUUUUGUCUGGUUAGUAGACCUAAAUCCCCACUUUCAUGAUUAUAGAAACAGGCUUAUAGGAGGAGCUAAUGUUCCCAUGUUUCUUAAGGAAGGGCUCUGUUCUCAAGGGGUGUAAAAGUGUUUGAACAAGCAUCAGAAAUACCUAGUUCAAAUCAUAUAAACUCCCCACAGAUCUCAGCAGCUCCUCCAACCCUUGCUGUUGAUUUGGAGAAGGUGGCAUCUCACCCUAUUCUGUGGGUGAUACUCAUAUUGCAGGCUGUACUUUCAGGAUCUUC